rnacentral:rRNA from 1 species
UUGUUGGUAAGGUAAAAGCUUACCAAGGCUUCGAUCAGUAGCUGGUCUGAGAGGACGACCAGCCACACUGGGACUGAGACACGGCCCAGACUCCUACGGGAGGCAGCAGUGGGGAAUUUUGGACAAUGGGGGCAACCCUGAUCCAGCCAUGCCGCGUGAGUGAAGAAGGCCUUCGGGUUGUAAAGCUCUUUCAGCCGGAACGAAACGGUUACGGUUAACACCCGUGACUACUGACGGUACCGGAAGAAGAAGCACCGGCUAACUACGUGCCAGCAGCCGCGGUAAUACGUAGGGUGCGAGCGUUAAUCGGAAUUACUGGGCGUAAAGCGUGCGCAGGUGGUUUUGUAAGUCAGAUGUGAAAGCCCCGGGCUCAACCUGGGAACUGCGUUUGAAACUACAAGACUAGAGUGUGGCAGAGGGGGGUGGAAUUCCGCGUGUAGCAGUGAAAUGCGUAGAGAUGUGGAGGAGCACCGAUGGCGAAGGCAGCCCCCUGGGUCAACACUGACGCUCAGGCACGAAAGCAUGGGGAGCAAACAGGAUUAGAUACCCUGGUAGUCCAUGCCCUAAACGAUGUCAACUAGUUGUCGGGCCUUUACGGGCUUGGUAACGUAGCUAACGCGUGAAGUUGACCGCCUGGGGAGUACGAUCGCAAGAUUAAAACUCAAAUGAAUUGACGGGGACCCGCACAAGCGGUGGAUUAUGUGGAUUAAUUCGAUGCAACGCGAAAAACCUUACCUACCCUUGACAUGUAUCGAAGCCCGCAGAAAAGCGGGGGUGCCCGAAAGGGAACGAUAACACAGGUGCUGCAUGGCUGUCGUCAGCUCGUGUCGUGAGAUGUUGGGUUAAGUCCCGCAACGAGCGCAACCCUUGUCAUUAAUUGCCAUCAUUUAGUUGGGCACUUUAAUGAGACUGCCGG